UAUACACCAAGUACCAACCAUUGUAUAUUUAUAUAAUCGCAACUACUAUGUAGAUAAAAUCUGCAUCGUGAUCGCGAACCAAGGAGUCUGCAAGACAGUAUCAAAUAUUAACUAUUAUCAUCAUAGGUGUCUUCAGUCAUUUCGAAUCAAAAUUUUUUAGGAAUAUUUAUGUCAUCAAAUACGAACGAUUGGACCUAACACCUAAACAAGUUUUGGAUAUUGAUGCAUUUUAAUUGCCCAAAAAGAUGAUGACAGACAGAAAAAAAAGGUAUUUCAUUAUAGAUCAAUGCAAAUACGGAUGUUAUAGCAAGUAUUAAAAACCAUAUCCAUAAUAAUAAGUAAAUUUUUUCGUUCAAAACGUUUUGAGAGAG